ensembl:lncRNA
GUGUAGGAUUAGUGUAGUGUAGGAUUAGUGUAGUGUGGAGUUAGUGUAGUGUAUGGUUACUGUAGUGUAUGGUUAGUGUAGUGUGGGGUUAGUGUAGUGUAGGAUUAGUGUAGUGUGGAGUUAGUGUUGUGUGGGGUUAGUGUAGUGUGGGUUUAGUGUAGUGUAGGGUUAGUGUAGUGUAUGGUUAGUGUAGUGUAGGGUUAGUGUAGUGUAUGUGUAGUGUAGUGUAUGGUUAGUGUAGUGUGGGGUUAGUGUAGUGUAUGGUUAGUGUAGUGUGGGUUAGUGUAGUUGUGGAGUUAGUGUAGUGUAUGGUUAGCGUAGUGUAUGGUAGGAUUAGUGUAGUGUAUGGUUAGUGUAGUGUGGGGUUAGUGUAGUGUAUGGUUAGUGUGGUGUGGGUUUAGUGUAGUGUAUGGUUAGUGUGGUGUGGGGUUAGUGUAGUGUGGGUUAGUGUAGUGUAGAGUUAGUGUAGUGUGGGUUAGUGUAGUGUAGAGUUAGUGUAGUGUGGGUUAGUGUAGUGUAUGGUUAGUGUAGUGUAGAGUUAGUGUAGUGUGGGUUAGUGUAGUGUAUGGUUAGUUUAGUGUAUGGUUAGUGUAGUGUAUGGUUAGUGUAGUGUGGGUUAGUUGUAGUGUAUGGUUAGUGUGGUGUGGGGUUAGUGUAGUGUAUGGUUAGUGUAGUGUGGGGUUAGUGUAGUGUGGAGUUAGUGUAGUGUAUGGUUAGUGUAGUGU